rnacentral:rRNA from 1 species
GGAGCUUGCUCCCUGAUGUUAGCGGCGGACGGGUGAGUAACACGUGGGUAACCUGCCUGUAAGACUGGGAUAACUCCGGGAAACCGGGGCUAAUACCGGAUGCUUGUUUGAACCGCAUGGUUCAAAUAUAAAAGGUGGCUUUUAGCUACCACUUACAGAUGGACCCGCGGCGCAUUAGCUAGUUGGUGAGGUAACGGCUCACCAAGGCAACGAUGCGUAGCCGACCUGAGAGGGUGAUCGGCCACACUGGGACUGAGACACGGCCCAGACUCCUACGGGAGGCAGCAGUAGGGAAUCUUCCGCAAUGGACGAAAGUCUGACGGAGCAACGCCGCGUGAGUGAUGAAGGUUUUCGGAUCGUAAAACUCUGUUGUUAGGGAAGAACAAGUACCGUUCGAAUAGGGCGGUACCUUGACGGUACCUGACCAGAAAGCCACGGCUAACUACGUGCCAGCAGCCGCGGUAAUACGUAGGUGGCAAGCGUUGUCCGGAAUUAUU